rnacentral:rRNA from 1 species
AAUUAUGAAAAUAUCACUAAUGCACCGGAUCCCAUCAGAACUCCGCAGUUAAGCGUUCUUGGGCGAGAGUAGUACUAGGAUGGGUGACCUCCCGGGAAGUCCUCAUGUUGCACUCC